CAGGACCCGAGCAUCAAGGAGAUGGCGGAGCAGAUCGCCAAGGACCCGUCCUUCAGCGAGAUGCCCCGUAAAUCUACUGUAUGAUCAAUCAAAACACGUUUUGUCCAAAGUCCAAACUUAAUGGUGUGAUAUUGUGGCAUAUUUACCCUGGAGCUAGCAUAUAUAUGGAGCUGACUUUGUUCCUGGAGGAGCAGACACAGAGGAGGAAUCUGCUACCUCAAAGCAGUUGAUCGACGCCGGGAGGGUGGGUACGUGAUGUCGGAGGCUGCCGGGAGGGUGGUGACGAGCUACCGAAGAGA